AAGGAAGCCGAGAGAGUUCUACAUCUUGAUCAGUAAGCAGGUCAGGAAUAGAGAGACAUUGGGCAGGUCUUGAGCUUUUUGAAACCCUAAAUCCCACCCCCAGCUACACGUCUUCUGAUAAGGCCACACCCACCCUAAGAAGGCCACACCUCCUUCUAAUGCUUCUCCUUGGUACCCAAGCCUUCAAAUCUCUGAAUCUAUGGGGACUAUUGCUAUCCAAACCACCACAUUAGGGGAGAUUAAAAUAUUUGCAUGGAAGUUUUAUGAGGUAGUGAAGAUUAAAAGUGGAAGAAAUUCAUCUGAUGCUCUCUGCAGGCAAGCUACCCUUCAAACAAACAAAACCGAAAACAUUUCUUACAGGAAGAUGAUCAACAUAGACCAAGAAUGAAUGAACGAGGGCAGCUGUGAGAAGAAAGAUGAAAUAUGGGACAGAAAAUCCCAGGUCAAGUUGGAGGUCAGUUUUCAGGAUCCAAGAUUUGGCCUGAAUUGUUGUUUUCAAAUCCUUAUCUGUUGACAGAAACCUGAGGAAGGAAGGCAUAGAGACUCAAUAGAAGGUUCAGCCUUGUAUCUCAAGAAAGGUUUAUUUUUUUCCAAAAAGAUACUUGGGAACUGAACAUGAAUAUGGAACACAGUCCAUGUUCAUAAAGGCCAUCAGCCCUCCAGAAGAGAGGAUGGAGCUGGAGAGAAGAGAUAGGAUUCCAUGAAGAGGAUCCAGUAGUUGGCUGGACCACACAACCCUGUUUCAGGAGGCAGUGGGAAGUUACUCUGUCUUCAAGACAUUGAAAGGGCUUGAGUCCAUCCUUCCUUCCUUGCUUCCUUGCUUCCUUGCUUCCUUCCUUCCUUCCUUCCUUGCUUCCUUCCUUCCUUCCUCCCUCCCUCCCUCCCUCCCUCCCUCCCCCUCUCUCUCUUUCUUUCUUUCCUUAUUUUUUUCAUCUAUAACCUUAAUCCAGGGAGCUGCACAAUAUGCUCUUCAGUUUCCUUUCUUCCUUUAUUUUCAAUCAGUAGCAGAAGCUCUUGAGAGAAGCAUUGUCUAAACAUAAGGGUACAAUUAAGAGAAAUGUGUUCCUUUCCUUAGGAAAACUUCCGUGAUGCAUGGACACUUCUCAAGCUCUUACUCAGCAAGUUCAAGUGCUGCCUCUUUAAAGAAGAUUCAUUUCCCCAGAGCUGAGGCAGGGGGUUGAUGCUGGGGUCUGGUAAGCCUCUAAGUGUGAGAGAUAUGGCAUUUUUAUGGACAAAGAGACCUUACAGGACCAGCACUUCUCUUUCCCAAGAGGGUUGUGCUUUCUGUAGUUUUAGAACAUAGUCCCCCUGUAGUUGCCUGGGACCUUCCUCCCAGGUAGGAGCUCACUUAAAUCUAAUCUAACCUGAACUAUAGCUAUCAGGCUGAGGAGCACGAUCUUUUAAAAAUGUAUAUUUCUUAUUAUAACCACUUUAACUCUACAAAUUAAUGUGAUUGAUUAUAUUCAUCAACAAAUGCUUCUUUAAUAAUG
rnacentral:lncRNA from 1 species